AGAGUUUGAUCCUGGCUCAGGACGAACGCUGGCGGCGCGCCUAACACAUGCAAGUCGAACGAGCGAGAGAGAGCUUGCUUUCUCAAGCGAGUGGCGAACGGGUGAGUAACGCGUGAGGAACCUGCCUCAAAGAGGGGGACAACAGUUGGAAACGACUGCUAAUACCGCAUAAGCCCACGGGUCGGCAUCGACCAGAGGGAAAAGGAGCAAUCCGCUUUGAGAUGGCCUCGCGUCCGAUUAGCUAGUUGGUGAGGUAAUGGCCCACCAAGGCGACGAUCGGUAGCCGGACUGAGAGGUUGAACGGCCACAUUGGGACUGAGACACGGCCCAGACUCCUACGGGAGGCAGCAGUGGGGAACAUUGCACAAUGGGGGAAACCCUGAUGCAGCGACGCCGCGUGGAGGAAGAAGGUCUUCGGAUUGUAAACUCCUGUUGUUGAGGAAGAUAAUGACGGUACUCAACAAGGAAGUGAAGGCUAACUACGUGCCAGCAGCCGCGGUAAAACGUAGGUCACAAGCGUUGUCCGGAAUUACUGGGUGUAAAGGGAGCGCAGGCGGGAAGACAAGUUGGAAGUGAAAUCUAUGGGCUCAACCCAUAAACUGCUUUCAAAACUGUUUUUCUUGAGUAGUGCAGAGGUAGGCGGAAUUCCCGGUGUAGCGGUGGAAUGCGUAGAUAUCGGGAGGAACACCAGUGGCGAAGGCGGCCUACUGGGCACCAACUGACGCUGAGGCUCGAAAGUGUGGGUAGCANACAGGAUUAGAUACNCUGGUAGUCCACACCGUAAACGAUGAUUACUAGGUGUUGGAGGGUUGACCCCUUCAGUGCCGCAGUUAACACAAUAAGUAAUCCACCUGGGGAGUACGACCGCAAGGUUGAAACUCAAAGGAAUUGACGGGGGCCCGCACAAGCAGUGGAGUAUGUGGUUUAAUUCGACGCAACGCGAAGAACCUUACCAAGUCUUGACAUCCUCUGACGAACGUAGAAAUACGUUUUCUCUUCGGAGCAGAGAGACAGGUGGUGCAUGGUUGUCGUCAGCUCGUGUCGUGAGAUGUUGGGUUAAGUCCCGCAACGAGCGCAACCCUUAUGGUCAGUUACUACGCAAGAGGACUCUGGCCAGACUGCCGUUGACAAAACGGAGGAAGGUGGGGAUGACGUCAAAUCAUCAUGCCCUUUAUGACUUGGGCUACACACGUACUACAAUGGCGUUAAACGAAGAGAAGCAAGACCGCGAGGUGGAGCAAAACUCAGAAACAACGUCCCAGUUCGGACUGCAGGCUGCAACUCGCCUGCACGAAGUCGGAAUUGCUAGUAAUCGCAGAUCAGCAUGCUGCGGUGAAUACGUUCNCCGGGCCCUUGUACACACCGCCCGU
rnacentral:rRNA from 1 species